UAAUAUAUAUUUUCUUUUUUCUCUUUUCUUUUUUUUCCAGGGUAUGGAUCGUCACUCUUUCAACAAAAAAGUUUGUUUCCUGUAUACGGUCUUGUGGGACUGGCUUAUAUCAUGAUCCUGGCUCUCUUUAUUAUAUUCUUUUCUAGGUGUUAGUAUUAAAUUGUAUCUGUAUAUUUAUGUUCACAAUUGUUAGAAUUCAAUUUUAUAUUUCUCAUAAAGCUUGGGAGUCUUAUGUUAAAUCUUUAUGAGGUUCCCUACCUCUACCACUUGUUUUAGUUCUGUUAUUAACAUUGUGACAUUGUGACCCUUACUCCGAGUACCCCUGCCUUCCUCACUACUAUCAGGGAUCUCCGGAGCAUCACUCUUUCCUCUUUUCCUGCUUCUCCAACAUCUGUUGAAUUUAUUUUCCUUUUCUUCCUCAAAGUUUACUUCACCUUCUUUUUCUCUCUCAUUCUUCUAACUUAUUUUGAUUUAUUGUUUGAAAGUGGGGGCAACUGUAAUAUAGUUUAUUAUUAUAAUUUUUUUUGUUAAUUUAUGCCAAAUUAAUAAUCACCAACCAAAUGCUACUCAUUUAUGUAUUGCAAUACAUGUAGUGCACAUAUGAGUUAAAGAGACACUGUAGGCACUAUGACUAUUUCAUCUCAUUGAAUUGGUUAUAUUGCCUGGAACCUCCUGGCACUGUCCCUCCGUUCAGUGUUAAACCAUUUUCGAGCAGUAUAACACUAAAUAAUAGUUCUUGGCCACCCACAACACAGCCCCAACUGGAGGUACGAGUAAG